AUUGAACGCUGGCGGCAGGCUUAACACAUGCAAGUCGAGCGCCCCGCAAGGGGAGCGGCAGACGGGUGAGUAACGCGUGGGAACGUACCCUUUGCUACGGAAUAGCUCCGGGAAACUGGAAUUAAUACCGUAUGUGCCCUACGGGGGAAAGAUUUAUCGGCGAAAGGAUCGGCCCGCGUUGGAUUAGCUAGUUGGGGGGGUAAUGGCCUACCAAGGCGACGAUCCAUAGCUGGUCUGAGAGGAUGAUCAGCCACAUUGGGACUGAGACACGGCCCAAACUCCUACGGGAGGCAGCAGUGGGGAAUAUUGGACAAUGGGCGCAAGCCUGAUCCAGCCAUGCCGCGUGAGUGAUGAAGGCCUUAGGGUUGUAAAGCUCUUUCAGUGGGGAAGAUAAUGACGGUACCCACAGAAGAAGCCCCGGCUAACUCCGUGCCAGCCGCCGCGGUAAAAC
rnacentral:rRNA from 1 species